rnacentral:tRNA from 1 species
GGGUACGUACGUCAAUUGGUAGACAGCCUCCCUUACAAGGAGGAAGUUAGGGGUUCGAGUCCCUUCGUACCCACCA